rnacentral:tmRNA from 1 species
GGGGCCUUAAUGGUUUCGACGUGUUGGCGAAAGCCGCCCCGUGAUUCAGGUCGAGAGUGAGUCUCCUCUCGUAAAUCAAAGGCUCAAAACAAAAGUAACUGCGAACAACAUCGUUCCAUUUGCUCGUAAGCAAGCUACUGUUCUUGCCUAAUAACCUCUAACUGGUUCGAGCGUCCGUAGUCUGACUCCGUUAAGGGCUAUGGACCAACCUCAACGGAUGCUCUAGUAAGCUGUCUUUGGUCGGCUUACUAGCUAAGACCUCACCAAAGCAUCCUGUCAUCCGGGAUAAAGGAUGGUUCCCGCCCUGAGGGUCAGAAGGGCUAAACCUGUGAAUGAGCGGUAGGUAAAUACCCAAGGCGGACACGGGUUCAAUUCCCGUAGGCUCCACUU